rnacentral:rRNA from 1 species
GUGUCAGCAGCCGCGGUAAUACGUAGGGGGCAAGCGUUGUCCGGAUUUAUUGGGCGUAAAGGGCGUGUAGGCGGCCUUUUAAGUCUGAAGUGAAACUCCAGGGCUCAACCCUGGAACUGCUUCGGAUACUGGGAGGCUUGAGUACUCUAGAGGGCAGUGGAAUUGCCGGUGUAGCAGUGAAAUGCGUAGAGAUCGGCAGGAACACCAGUGGCGAAGGCGACUGCCUGGGGAGAAACUGACGCUGAGGCGCGAAAGCUGGGGGAGCAAACGGGAUUAGAAACCCGAGUAGUCC